rnacentral:rRNA from 1 species
UACGAGGGGGGCGAGCGUUGUUCGGAAUUAUUGGGCGUAAAGGGUGCGUAGGCGGUUCCGCAAGUCCUGUGUGAAAUCUUCGGGCUCAACUCGAAGUCUGCACGGGAAACUGCGGGGCUUGAGUGUGGGAGAGGUGAGUGGAAUUCCCGGUGUAGCGGUGAAAUGCGUAGAUAUCGGGAGGAACGCCUGUGGCGAAAGCGGCUCACUGGACCAUAACUGACGCUGAGGAGCGAAAGCGUGGGGAGCGAACAGG